rnacentral:rRNA from 2 species
AUUAAUUUGAGAGUUUGAUCCUGGCUCAGGACGAACGCUGGCGGCGUGCCUAAUACAUGCAAGUCGAACGAACUCUGGUAUUGAUUGGUGCUUGCAUCAUGAUUUACAUUUGAGUGAGUGGCGAACUGGUGAGUAACACGUGGGAAACCUGCCCAGAAGCGGGGGAUAACACCUGGAAACAGAUGCUAAUACCGCAUAACAACUUGGACCGCAUGGUCCGAGUUUGAAAGAUGGCUUCGGCUAUCACUUUUGGAUGGUCCCGCGGCGUAUUAGCUAGAUGGUGAGGUAACGGCUCACCAUGGCAAUGAUACGUAGCCGACCUGAGAGGGUAAUCGGCCACAUUGGGACUGAGACACGGCCCAAACUCCUACGGGAGGCAGCAGUAGGGAAUCUUCCACAAUGGACGAAAGUCUGAUGGAGCAACGCCGCGUGAGUGAAGAAGGGUUUCGGCUCGUAAAACUCUGUUGUUAAAGAAGAACAUAUCUGAGAGUAACUGUUCAGGUAUUGACGGUAUUUAACCAGAAAGCCACGGCUAACUACGUGCCAGCAGCCGCGGUAAUACGUAGGUGGCAAGCGUUGUCCGGAUUUAUUGGGCGUAAAGCGAGCGCAGGCGGUUUUUUAAGUCUGAUGUGAAAGCCUUCGGCUCAACCGAAGAAGUGCAUCGGAAACUGGGAAACUUGAGUGCAGAAGAGGACAGUGGAACUCCAUGUGUAGCGGUGAAAUGCGUAGAUAUAUGGAAGAACACCAGUGGCGAAGGCGGCUGUCUGGUCUGUAACUGACGCUGAGGCUCGAAAGUAUGGGUAGCAAACAGGAUUAGAUACCCUGGUAGUCCAUACCGUAAACGAUGAAUGCUAAGUGUUGGAGGGUUUCCGCCCUUCAGUGCUGCAGCUAACGCAUUAAGCAUUCCGCCUGGGGAGUACGGCCGCAAGGCUGAAACUCAAAGGAAUUGACGGGGGCCCGCACAAGCGGUGGAGCAUGUGGUUUAAUUCGAAGCUACGCGAAGAACCUUACCAGGUCUUGACAUACUAUGCAAAUCUAAGAGAUUAGACGUUCCCUUCGGGGACAUGGAUACAGGUGGUGCAUGGUUGUCGUCAGCUCGUGUCGUGAGAUGUUGGGUUAAGUCCCGCAACGAGCGCAACCCUUAUUAUCAGUUGCCAGCAUUAAGUUGGGCACUCUGGUGAGACUGCCGGUGACAAACCGGAGGAAGGUGGGGAUGACGUCAAAUCAUCAUGCCCCUUAUGACCUGGGCUACACACGUGCUACAAUGGAUGGUACAACGAGUUGCGAACUCGCGAGAGUAAGCUAAUCUCUUAAAGCCAUUCUCAGUUCGGAUUGUAGGCUGCAACUCGCCUACAUGAAGUCGGAAUCGCUAGUAAUCGCGGAUCAGCAUGCCGCGGUGAAUACGUUCCCGGGCCUUGUACACACCGCCCGUCACACCAUGAGAGUUUGUAACACCCAAAGUCGGUGGGGUAACCUUUUAGGAACCAGCCGCCUAAGGUGGGACAGAUGAUUAGGGUGAAGUCGUAACAAGGUAGCCGUAGGAGAA